rnacentral:rRNA from 1 species
GUGGGGUAACGGCCUACCAAGGCGACGACGGGUAGCUGAUCUGAGAGGAUGAUCAGCCACAUUGGGACUGAGAUACGGCCCAGACUCCUACGGGAGGCAGCAGUGGGGAAUAUUGCGCAAUGGCCGAAAGGCUGACGCAGCGACGCCGCGUGUGGGAUGACUGCCUUCGGGUUGUAAACCACUGUCAGGAGGGACGAAUACCCGGCUUGACCGGGGGUGACGGUACCUCCAGAGGAAGCACCGGCUAACUCCGUGCCAGCAGCCGCGGUAACACGGAGGGUGCGAGCGUUGUCCGGAAUCACUGGGCGUAAAGGGCGCGUAGGCGGCUUGGUCAGUCAGGUGUGAAAUCCCGGGGCUCAACUCCGGGGCUGCACCUGAUACUGCCUGGCUAGAGCUCGGUAGGGGCGAGUGGAAUUCCCGGUGUAGCGGUGGAAUGCGUAGAUAUCGGGAAGAACACCGGUGGCGAAGGCGACUCGCUGGGCCGAAGCUGACGCUGAGGCGCGAAAGCGUGGGGAGCAAACAGGAUUAGAUACCCUGGUAGUCCACGCCGUAAACGAUGGGCACUAGGCGCUGGGGGGAGCGACCCCUUCGGUGCCGUCGCUAACGCAUUAAGUG